GAGGAACUGUAAAGAACCAGCCAGACAGCCCGCCCGCCGAGUUGCCCACCCGGCCGAGCUGUACUUUGUGUAUGCCAACAUGCCGACAUGCUGUAAUUUGUUAGUACUUCAAGAUCAUAUAAUGGAAAAUUGUAUCCAAACUGAAGUAUAAUUUGACGAGCCUGGUUGCUGUAGCCACAGGGGAAUUUUCAAGGACAAGAACCAGUGCUGGUGAAAAUGUGGUCUCAUGUGGUUUUCCAUACCGGCAUUCAGCAAGGAUUUCAGAGAAAGGAAUACUGUCUCCAAAUCAUGAUGUGCCGAUAAGCUCCAGUUAGCUGUGCCUUUUUCCUCCCACCGGUAGUCCUUCAAUCUGAAUCCAGGAGAUGCAGCUCUGAAUCCAAUAUUUCAGGAGAAUGAAUAUCUCUGAUGUACUCAGCUGUGAUGUAACAUGCCUUCAAGCCACUAUCCGAAGAACAUUCAGACGUUCUAAAUGGACCAUUGCCCUGUUGCCAUGGAAAUCAUUAUGAGGAGGAGCACACAAACUGUCACUUGUUUUGGAUAUCAGAUGUACCACGAACUGACCAUAAACUUUUCAGAUGCUCUGUUUAUUUCAUCAGCCAAUUUCGAUGUAAAUUUUACUGAAUAAUGACAAACAGUCUUACUCAUAAGCAUCUCUUACUCAUUCGUAUUCCACAACUAAACAUGCUUGCAAUUACACUGUGCCAUCUAU